rnacentral:rRNA from 1 species
GACAGAGGCCUCAAGCGUUAGGCGGAAUCACUGGGCUUAAAGCGUGUGUAGGCGGACGCCUAAGUACCUUGUGAAAUCCCACGGCUCACCCGUGGAACGGCUGGGUAUACUGGGCGUCUUGGGCCAACUAGGGGCAACUGGAACAAGCGGUGGAGCGGUGAAAUGCGUAGAUAUCAUGAGGAAUACCAGAGGCGAAGGCGGCUACCUGGACAAUUGCUGACGCUCAGGCACGAAAGCGUGGGGAGCAAAAGGG